UAUGAACCCUUAUUUAAUACCGAAUGACUCCNUAAAAAUAUGGAAAACAUAAUGCUGAAACUAGUAACAAGAAUUAAAAUUCUCCAAAAUGCAAGUAUAAGCCUUAAUGGAUAAUCCAAUGGUAGUUAACGAAAAUGAACAUAAUACAACAACAUAACAAGAAAACCUUGUAUAACUAAAUCGUUAACCUAACACCAGAGCAUUACUGGAAAGAUUAAAAGGAAAAGAAGGAACUCGGCAAAUCUUAACCCCGCCUGUUUACCAAAAACAUCGCCUCUUGAUAAACUAUAAGAGGUCCAGCCUGCCCAGUGACAAAAUUUAACGGCCGCGGUACCCUAACCGUGCGAAGGUAGCAUAAUCACUUGUUCUUUAAAUAAGGACUAGUAUCAAUGGCAUCACGAGGGUUACACUGUCUCCUCUCCCUAAUCAGUGAACCUGAUCUCCCCGUGAAGAAGCGGGAAUCACUCUAUAAGACGAGAAGACCCCAUGGAGCUUUAAACUUAACAGCAACCCAAUAACAUAAACCCCCAAAAUCAAUAAAGUUAUGCAUGUUAGUUUUAGGUUGGGGUGACCGAGGAGUAAAAAUCAACCUCCAUGACGAAAAGAACUAAAUCUUUACCCAAGAAAUACAUUUCUAAGGAUUAGAAUACUAACGAAUAUGACCCGAUAAUCGAUCAACGAACCAAGUUACCCUGGGGAUAACAGCGCAAUCUACUUCGAGAGCUCAUAUCGACAAGUAGGCUUACGACCUCGAUGUUGGAUCAGGGUAUCCCAGUGGUGCAGUC
rnacentral:rRNA from 1 species